rnacentral:rRNA from 1 species
AGAAUGAACGCUGGCGGCGCGCCUAAUACAUGCAAGUCGAGCGAGAAGACGUAGCAAUACGUUUGUAAAGCGGCGAACGGGUGAGGAAUACAUGGGUAACCUACCCUUGAGUGGGGAAUAACUAGCCGAAAGGUUAGCUAAUACCGCGUACGCUUCUUGGACUUCGGUUCAGGGAGGAAAGCGAUGCCGAGGGUAUCGCGCUCUUGGAUGGGCUCAUGUCCUAUCAGCUUGUUGGUGAGGUAACGGCUCACCAAGGCUUCGACGGGUAGCUGGUCUGAGAGGACGAUCAGCCACACUGGCACUGCGACACGGGCCAGACUCCUACGGGAGGCAGCAGUAAGGAAUAUUGCGCAAUGGGCGAAAAGCCUGACGCAGCGACGCCGCGUGGGGGAUGAAGGUCUCGGAUUGGUAAACCCCUUUCGGGAGGAAGAUAGGAAUGGGUAACCCAGUUUCGGACGGUACCUCCGAGAAGCAGCCACGGCUAACUUCGUGCCAGCAGCCGCGGUAAAUCUA